AGAGUUUGAUCCUGGCUCAGAACGAACGCUGGCGGCGUGCCUAACACAUGCAAGUCGAACGAGAAAGGGGCUUCGGCUCCGAGUAAAGUGGCGCACGGGUGAGUAACACGUGGGUAACCUGCCUCUAAGAUUGGGAUAACUCGUCGAAAGAUGAGCUAAUACCGAAUAAGACCACAGUUCCUGCGGGAACAGGGGUCAAAGGUAGCCUCUGCUUGCAAGCUAUCACUUAGAGAUGGGCCUGCGCACCAUUAGCUAGUUGGUAGGGUAACGGCCUACCAAGGCAAAGAUGGUUAGCUGGUCUGAGAGGAUGAUCAGCCACACUGGAACUGAGACACGGUCCAGACUCCUACGGGAGGCAGCAGUGGGGAAUAUUGCGCAAUGGGCGAAAGCUUGACGCAGCAACGCCGCGUGAGUGAUGAAGGCCUUCGGGUCGUAAAGCUCUGUCGGGAGGAACGAAUGCUCCUGAGGUUAACAGCCUCGGGAGGUGACGGUACCUCAAAGAAGAC
rnacentral:rRNA from 1 species